UUUACUGCAGACUCGUAGGAUGGGGGCA
rnacentral:piRNA from 1 species